AGAGAUUUUCGAUAAUUUGAUAACGAAGAGGAAUCCUCUCGCAGUGAGAUGCUUAGCUUUCUGGAACAAAAGAGGUAAUCCAGAAACAGGAAUUCAAAUGGGGUGCAAACCUGAUGCGAUUACUUACAGUAUUCUCUUGGAAAUGUUGUGCAUAAUCGGAAGCUUGAUGAUGCAAGGAAGUUUAGAAGUGAGAUGCUGCUAAAGCGGUCUGGCAGAUUACUUGCUGGCUUUUAGGAUUAUGAUCAAUGGUUUAUUUAAUAAUGGUGAUGUAAUUGAAGCCAUUCUUGGAAGUUGUUUCCCUCGUCAGAUUUCAACUUCUGGUAUUGCAAUGACAACUUUGUUAACUCGUGUUGUGGUAGACCGGAUCGUUACUUCACAUAACCUUUUGUCUGAAAAAAGAGAGGACACGCCCUUCCCUUUCUAUGCAGCUCAACCUUCUGGUGGUGUAAAUAUUUCAUUAGUUUCUCCGUGGAAGAAGGAGAAGAUUGUGCCACUACAGUGAAAUGAGCUAGCUCACAUGAUACACGAGAGGCUCCACAUGUGUAAUAAGUUCAAAAAAGGAUGCUAAAAGAGGUUGAAGCUUUCGCAUUUGUGUCCAUUCGAAUUUAUUUUGCGCGUGAUUCUAAAGAUGUGAAGAAGUUGUACCUUUAUUCUUUCCAUUCGUGUUUAGAUUUUUCAACUAAUGAAUCGAAAUCAAAACUCGAUUUCUGUUCAUGUAUAAAUCACUCUCAAAAGAGACCAACGCAAACUUGUUAUCCUAAUCUAUCUUCGUUUAUUAGAAAAUUAUAAAA